rnacentral:rRNA from 1 species
CUUUCAGUUCGGCUGGAUACCACACAGGUGCUGCAUGGCUGUCGUCAGCUCGUGUCGUGAGAUGUUCGGUUAAGUCCGGCAACGAGCGCAACCCACACUCUUAGUUGCCAUCAUUCAGUUGGGCACUCUAGGAGAACUGCCGGUGAUAAGCCGGAGGAAGGUGUGGAUGACGUCAAGUCCUCAUGGCCCUUACGGGUUGGGCUACACACGUGCUACAAUGGUGGUGACAAUGGGUUAAUCCCCAAAAGCCAUCUCAGUUCGGAUUGGGGUCUGCAACUCGACCCCAUGAAGUCGGAAUCGCUAGUAAUCGCGUAACAGCAUGACGCGGUGAAUACGUUCCCGGGCCUUGUACACACCGCCCGUCACACCAUGGGAAUUGGGUUUACCCGACGACGGUGCGCUAACCUUAGCAAUAAGGGGGCAGCCGGCCACGGUAGGCUCAGUGACUGGGGUGAAGUCGUAACAAGGUAGCCGUAGGGGAACCUGCGGCUGGAUCACCUCCUUUCUG